CACCAGGUCAGGACACGGUAAGGAUUGACGGACUGAAGGCUCUUUCUCGAUUCCGUGGAAAGUGGUGCAUGGCCGUUUUUGGUUGGUGGAUCGAUCCGUCUGGUUAAUUCCGUUAACGAACGAGACCUCGGCACUCCGAAUAGCGCGGCGGACGUCGCGGCCUCCGGGCCGUCUUCCGCACGAGCUUCUUAGAGGGACCGUCCCCCGCCGGGGAAGGAGGUGCGAGGCAACGACAGGUCUGUGAUGCCCUUAGAUGUUCUGGGCCGCACGCGCAUUACACUGACGCGUCCAACGGGUGACUCCCGACCCGAAGGGGCCGGGGAAUCCGCAAGGCGCGUCGUGAUGGGGAUUGAACGUUGCAAUUGUUGUUCACGAACGAGGAAUUCCUAGUAGGCGCGGGUCAUCAACCCGCGCCGAUUACGUCCCUGCCCUUUGUACACA
rnacentral:rRNA from 1 species